rnacentral:lncRNA from 1 species
GCCAUAGUAGGAAGAGUGAGCCGAGCGCAGAGGCUUGUACAUCACACAGGUCCAGUACUGAAUCGGACUGAGGUGGUCUGUGCGACUGUACCGUGCCAGUGGAUGGUGUUUGGCAAAGGCUCCUCAGCCCCCUGUAGAACCUUGGAGGGAGGACGGGAGCGGUUCAUCACUCACGCAGGAUGGGGUCCAGUGGAACCAGAAGAACCACAUCCUCCGCAAAAGGCAAAGCAGUCAGUCUGAAGUCCACAACCUGGAGAUUCCCCUUCUCACCAAGACACGAACGUGGUUGUCAACCAGGCCAUCAGUCAUGGCUGAACGCCUGUACUGCAGCAGAGCGCUACCUGCCAGGUGGCCUUCAGGCGGGGGAAGACGCAGCGUGGCAGUGAUGGAGCACGGCUGUGUGUGUGAGAGAGUGCUGGGUUAUACUGGCUGCUGGGUGAGAAUGACUCUGUCACCUUGCACUGGCAGCAACAGGAGCAAUAAACCACUAAAUUUUUAACAAUCUAACUUUCUUUCUGUCUAUUUUAACAAUAAAUGAGGUAUGAUGACCUUGUAUUGGCUAAAU